rnacentral:rRNA from 1 species
GUAAGGAAUAUUGGGCAAUGGAGGCAACUCUGACCCAGCCAUGCCGCGUGAAGGAUGACGGCCCUCGUGGUUGUAAACUUCUUUUGUACGGGAAUAACCCUCCGAACGUGUUCGGAGCUGAAGGUACCGUAAGAAUAAGGAUCGGCUAACUCCGUGCCAGCAGCCGCGGUAAUACGGAGGAUCCAAGCGUUAUCCGGAUUUACUGGGUUUAAAGGGUGCGUAGGCGGAUUGAUAAGUCAGUGGUGAAAGCCUACAGCUUAACUGUAGAACUGCCAUUGAUACUGCCAGUCUGGAGUAUGGUUGAGGUAGCUGGAAUGUGUCAUGUAGCGGUGAAAUGCUUAGAGAUGACACAGAACACCAACGGCGAAGGCAGGUUACCAACCCAUUACUGACGCUGAGGCACGAAAGCGUGGGGAUCAAACAGGAUUAGAAACCCGGGUAGUCC